GCCGGGCAUGAUGGCUCACGCCUGUAAUCCUUGCACUUUGGGAGGCUGAGGCGGGUGGAUCACCUGAGGUCAGGAGUUCAAGACCAGCCUGGCCAACAUGGUGAAACCCUGUCUCUA
ensembl:misc_RNA Metazoa_SRP Metazoan signal recognition particle RNA